GAACGAGAACUGGAGCAUCCAUGAGUAAAGUGGCGACCGGUGUGCGUAACACGUGACUAACCUACCCUCGAGUGGGGAAUAACUCCGGGAAACCGGGGCUAAUACCGCAUAACAUCGCAAGAUCAAAGCAGCAAUGCGCUUGAGGAGGGGGUCGCGGCUGAUUAGCUAGUUGGCGGGGUAACGGCCCACCAAGGCGAAGAUCGGUAUCCGGCCUGAGAGGGCGCACGGACACACUGGAACUGAAACACGGUCCAGACUCCUACGGGAGGCAGCAGUGGGGAAUUUUGCGCAAUGGGGGAAACCCUGACGCAGCAACGCCGCGUGGAGGAUGAAGCCCUUUGGGGCGUAAACUCCUUUCGACUCGGACGAUAAUGACGGUACGAGUGGAAGAAGCACCGGCUAACUCUGUGCCAGCAGCCGCGGUAAU
rnacentral:rRNA from 1 species